CGUUUCCUACGGGUGUCAGCAUUUAUUAAUAUUUUUCAAUGUUCGGAAGCCUGAACCAGCCAAGUCGCGUGAGGGAAGAAGGCCCUGCGGGUCGCAGACCUCUUUGGACGGGGAGCAAGGCCGCUGACGUGUCGGCGGAAGGAGAGUACCCGUAGAACAAGCAUCGGCUAACUCCGUGCCAGCAGCCGCGGUAAUACGGAGGAUGCGAGCGUUAUCCGGAUUUAUUGGGUUUAAAGGGUGCGCAGGCGGCACGGCAAGCCGGCGGUCAAAUCGCGGGGCUCAACCCCGCCCAGCCGUCGGAACUG
rnacentral:rRNA from 1 species